rnacentral:rRNA from 1 species
GACGAACGCUGGCGGCGUGCCUAAUACAUGCAAGUAGAACGCUGAAGGAGGAGCUUGCUUCUCUGGAUGAGUUGCGAACGGGUGAGUAACGCGUAGGUAACCUGCCUGGUAGCGGGGGAUAACUAUUGGAAACGAUAGCUAAUACCGCAUAAUAGUAGAUGUUGCAUGACAUUUGCUUAAAAGGUGCAAUUGCAUCACUACCAGAUGGACCUGCGUUGUAUUAGCUAGUUGGUGGGGUAACGGCUCACCAAGGCGACGAUACAUAGCCGACCUGAGAGGGUGAUCGGCCACACUGGGAAUGAGACACGGCCCAGACUCCUACGGGAGGCAGCAGUAGGGAAUCUUCGGCAAUGGACGGAAGUCUGACCGAGCAACGCCGCGUGAGUGAAGAAGGUUUUCGGAUCGUAAAGAUCUGUUGUAAGAGAAGAACGAGUGUGAGAGUGGAAAGUUCACACUGUGACGGUAUCUUAACAGAAAGGGACGGCUAACUACGUG